rnacentral:rRNA from 1 species
CGGUACCGGAAGAAGAAGCACCGGCUAACUACGUGCCAGCAGCCGCGGUAAUACGUAGGGUGCGAGCGUUAAUCGGAAUUACUGGGCGUAAAGCGUGCGCAGGCGGUUUUGUAAGACAGAUGUGAAAUCCCCGGGCUUAACCUGGGAACUGCAUUUGUAACUGCAAGGCUAGAGUACGGCAGAGGGGGGUAGAAUUCCACGUGUAGCAGUGAAAUGCGUAGAUAUGUGGAGGAAUACCGAUGGCGAAGGCAGCCCCCUGGGUCGAUACUGACGCUCAUGCACGAAAGCGUGGGGAGCAAACAGGAUUAGAUACCCUGGUAGUCCACGCCCUAAACGAUGUCAACUAGGUGUUGGGGGAGGAGACUUCCUUAGUACCGCAGCUAACGCGUGAAGUUGACCGCCUGGGGAGUACGGUCGCAAGAUUAAAACUCAAAGGAAUUG